CCGAGCGUGCGAAGUAUAUGCGCUUGGUACCUUGAUAUUGAUCUAUUAAGUUACGUUUUGUUUAUAUUAAUAUAUGAUAUAAAUAGAUAUCUAGGAUACUUAGAAUAUUUUGCGGGAUGUUUAUUGUUUGAGAGCGGUAUCGAUUUCACUUAACUUAAUCGAAUCGAAUCCGAUUAACCGAGCAAUCGUCCCAGUGAAAUAAUUAUUUCAUCACGGACAGGCACCUGGUAAGAACUGCAGACCUUCCGUAAGCCAGCUGGAUGGCUUCGUCAUAUGAAGAAUUCAACGCCCACGAGUGAGACUCGUACCAACAUCGUUGAGGAGCAAGUGGUUCAAGGUAGACAAUGGAAUGGAAAAGAGUGGGGAAAGUACUUUUUUUCUUGAUCGGACUUGGCGUUACUAUUGCCGGGGUAGUCUUUGACUGGAUUAAUUUCAAAGAACUGCGUCGGAAUCAACAAAAGAUUGAAAAAACUGGACUUAAUAGAUGUGACACUGGAGUCGAAGUAUAUCCUUGGCUUUUCGUGGCAUUCGUAAUAGGGAAAAUGGUUUUUACUUUGUUGGAGAGUAUAUGUUACGGCAUUUCACUACGU
rnacentral:lncRNA from 1 species